UCUGUAGCUCAGUCGGUAGAGCAUGGGACUGAAAAUCCCAGUGUCGGCGGUUCGAUUCCACCCG
rnacentral:tRNA from 2 species